GACGAACGCUGGCGGCGUGCCUAACACAUGCAAGUCGAGCGGAGCAGUAGCAAUACUGCUUAGCGGCGGACGGGUGAGUAACGCGUGGGUAACCUGCCUUUUACAGGGGGAUAACACAGGGAAACUUGUGCUAAUACCGGAUGUGCCCUUCGGGGGAAAGAUUUAUCGCCUUUAGAGCGGCCCGCGUCUGAUUAGCUUGUUGGUGGGGUAAUGGCCCACCAAGGCGACGAUCAGUAGCUGGUCUGAGAGGAUGACCAGCCACAUUGGGACUGAGACACGGCCCAAACUCCUACGGGAGGCAGCAGUGGGGAAUCUUGCGCAAUGGGCGAAAGCCUGACGCAGCCAUGCCGCGUGGAUGAUGAAGGUCUUAGGAUUGUAAAAUCCUUUCACCGGUGAAGAUAAUGACUGUAGCCGGAGAAGAAGCCCCGGCUAACUUCGUGCCAGCCGCCGCCGUAAAAC
rnacentral:rRNA from 1 species